UACGUAGGGUCCGAGCGUUGUCCGGAAUUACUGGGCGUAAAGAGCUCGUAGGUGGUUUGUCGCGUCGAAUGUGAAAACCCGGGGCUCAACCCCCGGGCCUGCAUUCGAUACGGGCAGACUAGAGUUCGGUAGGGGAGUCUGGAAUUCCUGGUGUAGCGGUGAAAUGCGCAGAUAUCAGGAGGAACACCGGUGGCGAAGGCGGGACUCUGGGCCGAUACUGACGCUGAGGAGCGAAAGCGUGGGGAGCAAACAGG
rnacentral:rRNA from 1 species